UCCGGAGAGCUGGGGAAAAGAGGGUGGUGCGAAUAAAGACGCAUCGGUGAGUUAGCCCCAACGCCGUGCCUGCCUCUUUAAGGCAUGCCGCUGGAACAGCUGGCCUAAAAGGAGCUAGAGGGCCGGUGCUAGGAUGGAUGAGAGGCAUUAAGGUUGGGGCCAUGGCCACUUUUACACGGGAAGAGUUUUACCAGCAGCUGUUGAGCAGUUGUGUGUUGCCAACUGCUCAGCAGGGUUUUGAACAGGUUUGGACUCUGCUGCUCUUGUGUCUAGCUUGCCGGCUUCUAUGGAGGUUAUCUCUGCCAUCCUAUGUUAAGCAUCUGAGCACCGUCGCUAGUGGCUUCUAUGCCCUCUACCAUUUUUUUCAGCUGCAGAUGGUGUGGGUUGUGCUCCUCAGCCUCUUGUGCUACCUGGUUUUAUUCCUGUGUCGCCACUCAACCCAGCGUGGAGUUCUGCUCUCCAUCACCAUCCUCAUCUAUUUGCUUAUGGGAGAGAUGCAUAUGGUAGACACUGUGAAUUGGCAUAAGAUGAGAGGUGCCCAGAUGAUUGUGGCAAUGAAGGCUGUGUCACUGGGCUUUGAUCUGGACCGGGGCGAAGUACCAACCAUUCCAUCCCCAGUUGAGUUCAUGGGGUAUAUCUACUUUGUCGGAACCGUUAUUUUUGGACCCUGGUUCCGCUUUCGCACCUAUCUGCAGGCAGUAGAGAGCAGGAAAAUAACUUUCUCCUGGUUUCAGAAGGUCUUUUUGAGCUUCUUCCUCUGCCUUGUGUGCCUCAUCAUGUCUACCUGCGUGGCUCCCUAUCUCUUCUCAUACUUCAUACCUCUCUACAGCUACAGGCAACUUAGGAAGAAGCGCAGAAGCAGGUGGCUCAGGGCUUACGAGAGUGCCAGUUCUUUCCAUUUCAGCAAUUACUUUGUGGGCUUUCUGUCUGAAACUACAGCUACCCUGGCAGGAUCAGGUUUUACAGAGGAAAAGGAGAAUUUGAAAUGGGACCUGAGAGUGUCUCAUCCUCUGAGGGUGGAGUUGCCACGUUCUAUGGUGGAGGUGGUCACCAGCUGGAACCUGCCUAUGUCACGAUGGCUAAACUCCUAUGUUUUUAAGAACUCCUUGAAACUGGGGACCUUCUCGGCCAUCAUUGUAACCUACGCAGCUAGUGCCCUCUUACAUGGGCUGAGCUUCCAUUUGGCUGCUGUGUUGUUGUCACUCGGCUUCAUCACUUACAUUGAACAUGUUCUCAGAAAGAGGUUGUCUGUCAUCUUUGAUGCCUGUAUACUCUCCAAGAAGUGUCAACCAGGAUGCUCACAUCGCCACAGCACGAAUCUCUGGGUUCGUCUCCUCAACCUGCUCUUUGGGGCUCUCGCUGUCUUCCACUUGGCCUACUUAGGCUCAUUAUUUGAUAUGGAUGCCGAUGACUCUAUGGAAGAACAGGGCUACGGCAUGUCUUAUACCAUCAACAAAUGGUCUGAGUUGAGCUGGGCCAGCCACUGGGUGACCUUCGGGUGCUGGGUCUUCUAUCGUCUCAUCAGCUGAAGCAGGACCUUCAUGUGAACUCGAGGAGAUGGAGCAGGGAAUGGGUGGAGAGGCAGAAUUGAUAAUACUCCUCACCUUCAAGAACAUUGGAUGCCCACCAUCGACUUGAGUGCCAUGGAUAUUGACUGAUUCGUUCUUUCUCUGGGAUGCUGAUGGGGGGAAGGGCUCCCCCAGCAGUUCACUUGUGUGCCCUAAAGAGGGGGGGAACAUGCAUCCCAUGUAGAAAAGGCUGGUUGAGUACGAAGUUGAGGUACUCCUGAAUACCUAUUUUUAAAAAAGCCUUUUCUUCCUUUUCCAACAUGGUGUGGACCAGGGGUCUCCAACCUUGGCAACUUUAAGACUUGUGGACUUCAACUCCCAGAAUUCCUCAGCCAGCUUUGCUUCGCUGGCUGAGGAAUUCUGGGAGUUGAAGUCCACAAGUCUUAAAGUUGCCAAGGUUGGAGACCCUGGUCUGGACUACAGUAUCUAUAAUAUUCUUCCAUUGGUUUCCUGGGGCUUGUGGGAGUUGUUAUUCAGAGAGUACCAGAUUGCCAGUUCAGAUAUUGUACCUCUUUGAGAAAAAAACUGGCUCCUGCCAGGUCCUUGAUGACACUCCCUCUAGUGGCAAUUGAAGAAACUGCACCAGCUUUCCUUCCCCUCUGAAUUAUUUUUACUGCAUGUUUUGCCUCUUUUUGCCCUCUUGCGGCUGCAGGUGGGAGCUGCACCCGCUGCUUCUGAGGUACCCCUUAUUACUCCUUAUGAAAUUCUGUCUUUAGUGUAAAGUCUGAUGAUUAGCCAAUGGGAAUCAUGAUGCUUUAAAUUGCAUUGAAGAUGCUGUUGAUUAUCUUUAAAAGUAGGACAGUUUGUGUAGAUGUAGCUUUUCUCUGUUUUGCUUCUAAAGCCCUUGGAUUUUUUCAGACAAUCGUGGCAGAAGCAUUGUUGAGGCCAUGGAGAAGAGGGCUGGAAAGUCCUGGGAAAGAGCACAAGAAAUUCUAAGUAGGGAUAAUCUUCAAGGAGAACUGAACCUUUUGAAAUUUUCACUAUCUGAAUCUAUGGAAUUCCUGUUCAUUUCAAUUUUUAUCCACUUGUGAUAUGGUGGCAGAAGCUGGCAUCGUUUUUUUAAUCUGAGUGCAGCUGCUCAGAUAUUUAAUUCAGUGCCAAAUUCUGCACAGAAGCUUAAACUGCCCUAGUAAUAGCAUACAAUUGAUUGGAUUAAUUAAUCUGGAAUAACGCUUGUUCCGUAGUUUAAUGAAUAUAUUGUGGAUAAAGUGCCCACUAAGGGUUAAAAAGAAAAAGGAGGACUGGGAGAGGAGAACCAUUGUGCCUUCUUGACAUAUGUUACCCUCCUGUCUUUAUAAAUAGAUCAAAAGCUUAUUCCAGUGAUUUGGAGGAAGUACACCCCCCCCCCGAUUUCUGUUAUGCAGUAUUUACAAACUAAGGAUUGCAUUGCUUCCUUUGUCACCAACACACCAAUAAUCCCAUGGCAGGAUUUAGGUAGUAUACUUCCUGUUAGAAGUACCACCCUGUCAUUGCAGUAAAGAAUGAACCUUUAACCUGGUUUUGUCAUGGGGAAGGCAAGAUCACAAUAGGAUCAAAACAUUCAAUAUGGACAAUGCCUAAUAGUAGAAAGGUGAAACAUUGAGCAGUUAUCUAACGCUUCUCCUGUAAAGGGAAGCUAAAUGCAGACAAGCCUUUUAAACUUAUAAAAGUUUAGAGAGCCAAUGUACUUGAGGUCUUGUAGAAUCACUACCUGAAUCAGUUCAGGUAGGACAAGUGAGACACACUUAUGGCAUCGGAUUCAUUAUUGGGCAACAAUAUAAGUUCCUGACAUAUUGAAAGUAAAUGGUUUUGUGAGAAGCUAUCACCCUUUCCCUAACAUGCUAGUUUAUUAUGUGUGUUGCUAUUUUUAAAAGUGCAUGUGUGAAAAAGUGGCUCACACACCAACUACAAAUGGGAGUAUUCAUUUCCCCCCUCCCCCCCGCACACAAUCCAGAUGUCCUCCAGAGUCUUGGACUUAAGGUGUCUUCCCACAAUUUUUAUUUGCUGGCCCAAAUACAAAAGUAAAAAAAGGUUGCAUUGUGAUCUGAGUUUUGAUCACCUUGCUACUCCUCCUUGCCUCUCUCUGUAAGGGCACAGCAGAAUAAGUGUGCAACCGGAUGCAAAAAUAAGAUCAGAGAAUAUUUCAGCAGAUAAUGCUUGUUUUUGUAUGAUACUGGUGCAUGUUGAGCUUCUUUCUUCCAUCCAGCUGUUUAAAGCCCUGAAUCCUGAUUCUUUUUAGCAUUUCUUUAUCUACUAAUUCUUCUUUCGUUUUGGAGGAAUCAAGACCUUGCCGGAAUACAGUCUAACUCCAUUCCAAGUUUUUUUGUGGACUACAGUGUUAAAAUCCCAGGAUAUAUCUUCUGGCCCUUGCCUAGGUGAGGAAAACUGGACUUGGCCCUGUUGCCAAGACACCCAUCUUAGCCUGUGUCAAUGAUUAAUUCAGUGACUAAUGAUGAGAAAGGAGGAAGUCAUUGGCUGGGGGAGUGGUACCUGUCCCAGUGAGAAGAAAAUGGCGCAUGACCCAAACUGCUCCCUUAUCGGCGAUCAAUUGCCUCUGUCAUCCGAGAUCUUCCAAGGUGAGGAUGGGGAAUUUGUGGAAAGCUGCAGCCCAGACAAGUUGAGGUUCUGGUAAUGAAGGGUGAAAGAUGGAGGGAAGGCAGAAUAAAGGCAUCAUCCAAAGUUCCCCAGAGUUUAGCCUCAUAAAUACAAUUUUGCCGACAGUAGCCAAGUAAUAAUGGGAGCAUUCUGCUCAAUGCAGAAGUCUUUCCAUUACGAGAGCAAGCCAGUGGUGAAAUGUAAAAUUUAUUACUACCAGUUCUGUGGACGUGGCUUGGUGAUGGGGGUAAUGUGACUAAGUGGGUGUGGCCAACUUUUUUUUUUCUUUUAAAAGCAUUUUUUCUACAACCUCUUUGGCCAAAGAGGUUGUAGAAAAAAUGCUUUUAAACGCCUCU